rnacentral:rRNA from 1 species
AGCGAACGCUAGCGGGAUGCCUCAAACAUGCAAGUCGUACGCGAAAGGGACUUCGGUCCUGAGUAGAGUGGCGCACGGGUGCGUAACACGUAGCUAACGUACCCUAUCGCUGGGGAUAACUCCGGGAAACCGGAGCUAAUACCGAAUGAUCUGUCGGAGUCUGCGGACUCUGCCGGUAAAGCCGUAAGGCGCGAUAGGAUCGGGUUGCGGCAGAUUAGUUUGUUGGUGGGGUAAUGGCCUACCAAGACUACGAUCUGUAGCUGGUCUGAGAGGAUGAUCAGCCACACUGGAACUGGAACACGGUCCAGACUCCCACGGGAGGCAGCAGUUGGGAAUAUUGGACAAUGGGAGAAAUCCUGAUCCAGCAAUCCCGCGUGAGUGAUGAAGGCCUUCGGGUCGUAAGCUCUUUUAGGUAGGGAAGAAGGGAAACGUUAGACGGUACCGUCCAGAAAAGACACCGGCUAACUACUGUGCCAGCAGCCGCGGU